rnacentral:piRNA from 1 species
UGGAAGAAACCCAGAAGGUGCUUGGACGC